rnacentral:lncRNA from 1 species
GCCUAAAUGUGAACAAUGUUUGAUUGGAAAAGCAAGUUAAGUUAUCUUUUCUCACUAGUACUCAUAAAUCAAAGCAAAUUCUAGAAUACUUACAUGAUGAUUUGUGGGGCCCUGCAUCAUCCUAACAUUUUCUGGUUACAAGUAUUACUUGCUCAUUAUUGAUGAUUUCUCAAAAAAAAAUUUGGGUAUUUCUUUUGAAAACUAAAGAUAAAACAUUUGCCUCAUUUAAAGAUUGGAAAACCCAAAUUGAAAAUCAAAACUUUGAGAAAUGACAAUGAUCUAGAAUUUUGCAUUAAUGAGUUUAAUGAUUUUUGCAAGUUGCAUGGCAUUCUAAGACAUAGAGCUGUGACCUACACACUUCAGUAAAACUGCAUUGCAGAGAGAAUGAAUAGUACUUUGUUGAAUAAAGUUAGAUGCAUGCUUUUGAGCUCUGGCUUGCCCAAAUUAGUUUGGGGUGAAGCUGUUAAAACUACUGUAUAUUUAAUUAAUAGAAGUCCUAUAAGUGUUUUAAAUUUUGAUGUGCCUGAAUCUUUGUGGAUACAAAAGCCUGUGAUCUAUUCUUACUUGGAAACAUUUGGUUGUGCUGCAUAUGCUCAUCAAAACAUAGGGAAACUUGAGCCUAGAUUCCUUAAAUGUGUGUUUUUGGGUUAUGCUGAAAAUGUUAAAGGAUAUAGGCUAUGAGUUUAUGGAGAAAAAGGUUAUAUGGUUAUUAUAAGGAGGGAUGUGGUCUUUGAUGAGUCAUGUAUACCAUGUUUGGAAGGGAAAGAGAAAAAAUUGAUUGAAAAUGAUGUCCAAAUUAAGGUGAAGCCUAUUAAAAUUGAUAAUACCACUUCUAUCCCCUUAGAAAUAGCAACUAAUGAGGCUGACCAGAAUGAAUACGAGUCUGAUUUGGCUGAACCUGAGCAGUAUAAUAAUGAUAAUACACCUCUAGAUGAAUACUGGCUCACUAGAGACAGGGAUAGGAGACAAAUUAGACCACCAGCUAAGUUUAAUAGUGAUGACUUUGUGUCUUUGUUCACUUAUCAAGAUGAAUAUGAAACCAAACCUAGGUCCUAUCAUGAAGCCUUAAAAUCGAAAUAUUCUAAGUGGUGGUUAAGUGCUAUGGAAGAAGAGAUGUCUUCCCUAUACAAAAAUAAAACUUGGGCAUUGGUUGACAGACCUAAGGAUAAGAAGCUAGUUGAUUGCAAGUGGAUUUAUAAGAUAAAAGAAGGGGAAGGUGGCGCAAACAAUGUUAGAUACAAAGCUAGGCUUAUUGCCGAGGGUUUUACACAAAAAGAGGGCGUGGACUGUAAUGAGAUUUUUCUCCCCGUUGUUAAAUAUACAACUAUAAGAUGUAUUCUUGCUUUAGUUGUACAAUUUAAGUGGAAUCUUGAUCAACUAGAUGUAAAAACUGCAUUCUUAUAUGGUGAAUUGGAUGAAGUGACCUACAUGAGACAACCUUUAGGAUUUGUUAAAGGAAAUCCUGAAAAAACAGUGUGUUUGUUGAAAAAAUCUUUGUAUGGCCUAAAACAAGCUCCAAGACACGGUAUAAAAGAUUUGAUUAAUUUAUCUUGAAGCAUAGGUUUAGUAGAAGCAAUUAUGAUACAUGUCUUUAUUGCAAAGGAAAUGGAGGUAAAGAUUCUUUGUGUCUUCUGCUUUAUAUCGAUGAUAUGCUUUUUGCUAGUGCCAAUAAAUUUGAAACUGAUGAUAUCAAACACAAAUUAAAAUCAAAAUUUGAUAUGAAGGAUCUUGGUUCUGCUAAGAAAAUACCUGGCAUGAAAAAUCUGAUUGCUUGUUUUUAUGUCAAGAAGAAUAUGUGAAUAAGAUCCUCAAGAAGUUUAAUAUGUUUGAUUGUAAACUUGUGACUUUACCCCUUGCCAAUCACUUUAUUUUAACAUUUGAUUCGUGUCCAAAAAUGAAGAUGAACUUGAAAGAAUGUCUAAAGUACCUUAUGCUAAUGCUAUUGGUUCAAUCAUGUACUUAAUGAUUUAUACUAGAUCUAAUUUGGCUUUUAAUAUUAAGCCGUGUUUGAUAGGGAUGGAAUUCUAAGGAAAAUGGAAUUGAAAUUUCAUCUUUCCAAUUUAUUGUUGUUUAAUUGGCAAAAUGUAGAAUGGAAUUGAUUUUCCAUGAAAGCUUGCCACAUCAGCCAAUUCCACCAAAUGGUUCAAUUCCACAUUUUCACGUAUAUUUUUUUAUUUUAACAAAUUCUAAGAAUUAUUGUAAAAAAAAUGUUUCCCUUUAAUUGACAAUUUUCAUGUAAAACAUAGACAAACGAACAUCAAAAGAUAUCCGAUUUUCUUGAAAUUUUUUUUAAGCAAUGGAAACAAAUUUCAUCCAUAAUACUAGUAAAAUUUUUCCCUUUAAUUGACAAUUUUCAUGUAAAACAAAGCCAAACGAACAUAAAAAACACUUUUAUUUCAACCUUUUCUACGUGGAAAACUAUACCAAUCAAAUACAAUAAUUUAUAAUUCCCAAAAAAAUAAUUUCUAGGCAAAUCAAUUCCUUGGAAUUCGUUUCCUUUCCACCCAAAUUUCAUCUUUGUAAUCAAAUGGAUCCUUAGUGUUUUGAGUAGAUUUAUGGGGAAUCCUUGUGAAACUCAUUGAAAAGCUUGAAGUGGUUGUUGAGAUACUUAAAUGGUUUAUCUAACUUGGGUUUGAUGUUUAAAAUGGAUAAAGAGGGGGUAAUUUUUAAGGGUUAUAAAGAUUUUGAUUUCGCUGGAAAUAGAGACAAUAGAAAAUCAACUUCAUCUUAUUUUUACACUUUGUGUGGUAUAAUAAUAAGUUGGAAAUCUCAGUUACAAAAAAUUGUUGCCUAUCUUCCACUGAAGCUGAAUAUAUUGCAGCCACUGAUACAAUUAAAGAAGGCAUAUGGCUACAUAGUUUGUUGAAUGAACUUGGUUUUGUAGACACUAAUCCAAUACUAUAUUUUGACAAUCAAAGUGCAAUUCAUUUGAGUAAGAAUCCCAUGUUUCAUGACAGAACAAAACACGUUGAUGUAAAAUACCAUUUCAUAAGGAAUAUUAUUUCAAAAGGUUUGCUGAAAAUUAAGAAGAUACCUACUUUUCAUAGUCGAUAUGGAAACUAAGGUGAUACCUUUAAAUAAUUUUCAAAACUAUUUAAAGAUGUUAUCUAUUGAUUCUUUUCAUUGAUUGUAUGGGUAGAAUAGAACAAAUGAAAUUAUAAAUAUUGGUGAAGCUCUUGCCUGCACUAUAGGCUUAAAUUUUGGAAGCAAGGUGGAGAUUGUUAAGAAAUUGUUCCAAAAUUCAACUUGAAGAAACAUGUUUUAUGAAAUAGCAAUUUUCUUUAAGUGAUGUUCCAUGUGGCUGUUGAUUAUUGGCUACUACAUUAAUAGCCGGAUUGUGCUACUUGAAAGAAUAUGUGAGCCGUUAGAUUAAAUCUUGUGGCUGUGAUUAAAUCAAAUUGUCACUGUCUUAUGGGCUAGUUUUCUUGGAAGGCUAAAGACUCACACACACUCUCUCUCUCUCUCUCUCAGACGUCUCACUCUCAAGACAAAAGGGCUGGUCAUUUUCUCUCUUGUCUUGUGUGAAACUGGUCCUUUCUUCUUAGCGACUUUAGGGUUAAUUUUCUGGAGUUUUUCUGAAAAUAAUCUCAGAAAACAUCAUGAAAUACUCAAGAUCUAUAUGGGUGUUAUGCUAUUUUGGUCUUUGUUGAGUCGAAUCCACGUGACUCUUUGUUGGUUGGUUUUUCUUGUGAAAACUUAGUGUUUUUCGGCCUAUUAUUGUAUACUAUAGAGGCUGGUUUUGUAUAGUUCCUUGGUGGAAAGUGAUAUACUGUGAAAUAGCACCAGGUUUUCUAUGAUUCUUGAGAAGGCAGCUUCGGUCAUGAGAGAAAUCUUAGUGAUUUGGUGAUAUUCCUUUGCGGACUAGUAGCCAGUUCUAUUGUUCUUUAUGAGAUAAGUCUUUGUGACUAAUUUGUUGUAAUAUUCUGGAACAAUAUUGUAUAUUUGCUACCUGAUUUUUGGGGUUUUAUAGUGCAAUCGAGCUUUAUCAUUUUUAAUGGAUGCUUAACAGGGGAUUAGGUGUUAGAAGUUGUUGCUGAACCUUUGGGGCUUUGGCUGAAAAAUUCUCUGUAUUCAUUUAUAUUUCCUGCACUUUCUUUUCAAUUUAUGAUUAUGGAUUUGGAAUCUUGGUUAAUAUUGGUAUCUCUCAACUUUUCAGAAAGGUGUGUCGAGACUUGGGAUGAAGGCGAUCGAACAUUGAGAGGAAAUUCCUUUCCAACAAAUUUCGCUCCACUCAUGUUCAAAUUCAAGACGUGUAUAGAUUCUAAGCUCUAGCAUACUUUUUGAUGUAUUCACAAAUCUAAUUUGGGAAUCCAAUUUUUUAAGAUUUUUGGGUACCUGUCCCUAUUCUGGCAUCGACAAUAAGAAUUCUCAAGUCGGGUGAUCAUACUCAUUCACUAGAAGGUAUCUUAGUUGUUCUCAAAUCACCGGUGUCUUUUUUAGUACUUUCUCCCGUAACAAAGGCAGAUCUAGUCACUGCAUUCUUUGAGAAUCUUGAAGAUGAUUUAAUAUCUAUAAUAGGAUUUUAAUGGAGGUGAGAAAGAGACAGGAGUCUCAAUACAUGAUUCUGAUUCCCAUCUAAAGACUGAAUUGCAAUGAUUUGAGUCCUCUGGAACAUUUGAGUAUCAUCUUUGAAAUAUGAAAAUAUCAGCCCCAGUAAUACUAGAAUCCAAUAUAUAGCCUGAGUUCACACAUUAACAAGCGAAUGAAGGGUUGGAAUAUGAAGAUGUGAAUAAUACCAGCCAAUACCCGAGUUGUUACUCCUGUUAUAUUGGUCAUUCUCUAGGCAUGAGCAAAUGCAGCAAAGAUCUCUGCUAGAUCAUUUCAACCAUAUAAAUAUUGUAUUGAGAGUGAUCCCCGUGUCAAUGAAUUCACAGUGAUAUUCCUAGAAUGCUUAAUGUCAUCAAGAAGAUGGUCCAUGAUUUCCUUGUUUCAGCUGACAAUGCCUGGGAAGAUAUGUUGUCUUUACACUUGUUAUUGACAUCCUUUCCUUCUCCUUUACCUUUCCUCUCUGUGUAUCAAUACAUGUGUUGUGACAAGCCUUGGUAAUCCUUAAAGUGGCUUCUUAACUAGUGUAAACAUAAGAUUCCAUUUGUAGUCUUGAAAAUGUUUGGAUACUGAGAAGUAGCUCUAUUAUAUAAUUAAUAAUUUAUGUUUUAAAAUUGCAUAAGGAACAAUUUUGAAAGUUUAUAAGGUUUUUAUAUUAUUAUGUUAUUUCCUUAUUCAAAUUUUUUCUUAAUGAACUUCUGUACAGGCUAAAUUUUUAUUUUUGCUGUGUCACUGAUAACUUGUCUAAUUUUUUAUAUUUCAUAAAUUGUUCAACACACAGUAUGGUGUGUCCUUUAUAUAUAUAUAUAUAUAUAUAUAUAUAUAUAUAUAUAUAUUUUUUUUUUUUUUUUUUUUUGGCAUGCAGGAAAUAAGUCUUCUACAUGUCAAGCACCAACAAUAUGACACUUUUACAACUUGUCUUUGUACAUUUUUUGCACGUGUUCAACGAGACGUGAAAUGCAGGAUAUUGUUUAAAUCAUUUUUAUCUUUAUGUGCGUUUCACGUAUUAUGAUACAAUAGAAGAAUCGAUAAUUCAUGCAUUUAUCAUAUGAU